UGAGUUUGAUUCUGGCUCAGGACGAACGCUGGCGGCGCGCCUAACACAUGCAAGUCGAGCGGGAAGCUUUUUAAGGAUUCUUCGGAUGAAUUAAAAAGUGGAGAGCGGCGGACGGGUGAGUAACGCGUGAGAAACCUGCCCUAUACAGGGGGAUAGCCAUUGGAAACGAUGAUUAAUACCCCAUAUGACCACAGUAUCGCAUGAUACAGCGGUGAAAACUCCGGUGGUAUAGGAUGGUCUCGCGUCUGAUUAGCUAGUUGGUGGGGUAACGGCCUACCAAGGCGACGAUCAGUAGCCGGCCUGAGAGGGUGACCGGCCACACUGGAACUGAGACACGGUCCAGNCUCCUACGGGAGGCAGCAGUGGGGAAUAUUGCACAAUGGGCGAAAGCCUGAUGCAGCGACGCCGCGUGAACGAUGAAGGCUUUCGAGUCGUAAAGUUCUGUUCUUGGGGA
rnacentral:rRNA from 1 species